AUACGGAGGAAUCCGAGUGUUAUCCGGAUUUACUGGGUUUAAAGGGUGCGUAGGCGGGCGCCUAAGUCAGCGGUGAAAUGCAGCGGCUCAACCGUUGAACUGCCGUUGAAACUGGGCGCCUUGGAUGCGAUCGAGGCCGGCGGAAUGCGUGGUGUAGCGGUGAAAUGCUUAGAUAUCACGCAGAACGCCAAUUGCGAAGGCAGCUGGCCGGGCCGCAAUCGACGCUGAGGCACGAAAGCGUGGGGAUC
rnacentral:rRNA from 1 species